rnacentral:piRNA from 1 species
GAUUGAUUUAAAAGACUGCUUUUA